UUAGGUCUAUCACAGCGGAGUAGCUUAUUACUUGGAAAUUCAGCUUCCUCAAUUCAUGAGAUUGCAAUAAAUUGAUGACAAUAUCAAAACAAGUGAAAGGAUGAACACAAUUAGAUAUAAACACAAUAAAACAAUUGAUGACAAUGACCUUCUAGUCCAAUUAAUCGUUUUCUUAACAUCCACAUCCUUGGGUUUGAUGAAACUUGAAACAAAGCUUAACAAUGGAAAGUUUAUGGAAAAAAGAUUACACUACCAAAUUUACGAUAAAUUGUUAAAUUGCAAGUUUUAGAGUAAUCAUGAUAAAUUCAAUUCAGAGAAAUGAAGGAAAUUUUAGUUUCCUAACAAACCCAAAAGGUCUAAAUCUUAUGAUUUUCCUAUUGUCUAUCGCCAUGUAAUUACCCUUUGUUAUUAAUAUCUGUUAGUAUCUGAUAUCCAAUAUCUGAUCAAAAAAAUCAUCAAGUUGUUGUGAACAUUGUUCAGUGAACAAGGUUUUUCUUCGUUGUGCCAAGUAGAUUAAGUCAAUCGGUUAAUCAAUCAGUAUUGUUUAAAUAUUAAGUCAUUCAACAAUAAACCAUCCUUUAAUGAUAAGUAAAUAGCUUUAUUUUAAAUCUAACGGUGAUUUUCAACAAUCAUAAUGAUCAACAUUGAAGAUUGGAAAAAGAAAAGCGUUUCUACCAAAUAGUGACGCUUUGAUGACCUUGUCACUCAAUUCAACUUUACGACAUCACUGGACCGUAAAAUGAUCAGAUUCAUGAUUGACGAAAAACGUGGAAGCUAUUAAGACGCUGAUGAAAUGGUAUUGAUGCUGAUAAUAUAGAAAUUUAACAAUUGAUUUCACCAUUUGCAGCUACCUGUCCAAUUGAUCCAAACCAAGCCUAUCUAAAGCUUUGACCGAUGCAUCAGAUUAUCCUAAAUUAUCCGCUGCAUGAGAGAUUUUAUUGGCACAAGCUUUACCCUGAAAAAUACUGUGACUAUUGCACUUACUGACUCUAUUUGGACAAAGAUUGACAUAUUGCGAAUCCAUCCAAUCAUUGUUCUCAUUUUGCAUGGAAAACAGAGGUUAAAUACUUGAAUUGAUCAAAGGAACUUUUGACAUCUCCAGUUAAAUUAAUUAAGUAAUUUGAGAAAAAUGGAAACGUAAUGGUUGCUGCAUGAAUUUAAAGAUAACUCAUGGUUGACGGUUGUUCAAUAUUGAGAUUCACUAAUUGGAUAUUAUACAUACGUAGCAGUGAAAUGUUUGUAUAUCUUCUUUAUCGAGAGUAAAAUCAAAUUGAGGAUAAAAUGGUUACACAUUAACAGUAUUUGCAAAUCAAAGAAGCGCUAAUACUGAUAUUUAUUGAAACUUUUUGCUGUUUGUGUGCUUGUUCAAUCGAUCGGAAAGCAAAAAAGAUGGAAAAAUAUUGGCCAAAGCUGGACGACUAUUUCAAUCUCCAUAACCAAAGCGUGUAACAAGCCUACAAUGGGCGAUCACGACGAGAUGCCUCUUCUCAUGAAUUUCAACUGUAAUCUUCACCGUUUCUUUGAAUCUCCAGGAAGAUAUGAAUCAACUUGAUCUCAAAAAAGAUGGCAUUGAUCUUAUAGCAAUUACAGUUGACGGUUACAAUUCCAAUUGUGGACAAGGCUGUGGUCAUCCUGAUAGAGGCUAACCUAUUUGAUAUGGGAAAACGCAAUUGAAACUGUCACCAUUAUGGAGUUAUAAUUGGAUAAUGACUUUCUGAGUUGCAUGGUGUUGGUAAAAAAUCCAAGUGGCAUAAGAAAAUGAUUAUUAUGAUGAUCAAAUAUCUUGUUUUUUUCAUCUCUUCUCUUAUCAUUAUCAUCAUCAUCAUAAAAAUUUCAUUUUCUAUUUUUAUAAUUUCAUUUUAUUACCUGCAGCUCCUCAAGCGUCCACGAUUACUGGUAAAAUAAUUUGUGGUCAUUCUCUUCCUAUUUUACUGAUGGAUUCAAUCGGAUUGAGAGAGAUACGGAUCUUACUUUACCCUGAUCAAGAUGAAUUUCCCUCUUUACCAAGCCAACUUUGUUCAGAUGAAUAACCAAAUAUUACAUCCACAUGGACCUGCAAUUUCAGCUCAUCAUAAUAAUUAUUAUUUUUUAUUUCAUUUUACUUUUCUUAUUCUCUUCACCUCCUGCUGACUCGACAAAAGUUGCUGCAGGAUUUAUAACGGCAAAAUGAUAGAGAUGAACUGUUAGUCUGGCAGAUUAAAAUUUAGACUUUCGUUCAAUUAAACAGAAAAAAAUAAACACUCUCUUGGCUUGA